rnacentral:rRNA from 1 species
GCAUGCACUAAUCGGCCUGAUAAUGAUCAUAUCAUUCAUUUUGGGAUAGAGGUAGAACGGAUUUGUCUUUUUUUGUUGGAUACAGGUAGAGAAGGAGGAGGAGGGGGCGGCAGCGGCGUGUGCGAGAAGAGCAAAAGAGAACAAGCAAGACCGAGUCCGAGUGGCCGGGCUAAGCAGGUACCGACAACUAAAGAGGGUGGCCACAUCGUUCGAGUGGAACGAGUCCGAGUCUAGACUAAUGGUCUGCUGGAUACUUCGACGACUCACGGAGCUAGACGAGACGAGGAUCAGUGGACCACUGUGCCGGCCGGCGGGCCGUCUACAAAGGAGGACUAGAGGCUAUUACCACGUGGCUCAAGUACAGAGGCCCGACCGCGGGGCUAGGUAGGUACCUAUAUACAACCAGAAGAGCCCUACCUACCGCUACGUGCGCGAUCGGAACGACGGGUUGCCGACCACUUGCGGCGACGGCGGCCGGCCGGCAUGGAACGAACAACGGUAGAGCGCUGACCGGCAAAGACUACAAAGGAAGACUAGAGGCUGCUACAUGGCUCGUAGGUGUACUGUUCCCCUCGUGUAGCAAACAGCUCUUCUCUUCUUCUUCGUACUUCUCCACCCGAAUUUCACCUACUACCCGGCCACCCGCUAUUUUUCUUACUUAUCGAGCAGGCGAAGUCACACCACUCGCAACCACCACCGCCGCGUCGCGUCGCGUCCCUUUCCUUCGUUCUUCUUCCCGCUGCUUGGGAUCGAGACCAGCCUGCCUUAGGGGACAGGAUCGAUCUAGGUGUCCACUUCGACUACCGACGACACGAGGCUAGGCGCCGCUCCGCCAACCGGCCGCUCGACGGCCGCCGACUCUACCCCGAGGUGGCGGAGGGAGACGUGAGGGUCCGGUUACAAACCUCGCGGAGUAGACGAGGAGCGAGACGGGGGAGAAGAGACUGGUUCCGAUUCCGCCGCUACCUCUCGCGGUAAGCGGGCAGUAAGUAGGGCGCAGUGUGUCACAGGUGGAGAAAGCCGGCGCGGCGGAGUUUCGGAGACACGUUCUGGUUCCGCCACUAGCUCUCGUGGGAAGAUGGUGUUGAGUAGGGCGCGGCGUGUUACAGGAGGAGGAGGUCAGCGCGGCGGAGAGUUGGUCGGCUGUUCAAAACCGAACUCUAUCACCCAGUGUCCUACUUUCCAGGCGUCUUAGGCACGGGCUACUAAAAGUCUUUCGCUUAGUCACCACACCUACGGCUGUUCCGACUUCGUCAGAAGGAGCUGCACUACUACUACCGAUUUAUACUACCCUUACAAGGUGGUUUAUACUACUCAUCAGGGCAAGCUCGCAACGAGGCCUUCCGCGAAUAGGCUAUGUACUUCUAAUUCACCAAAUAAUUUCUUUAACGAGAUAGAGAGUUCUAUGCACAGCAAAAAUUCGACCCGUUCAAUUUGAAACGGCAGUAGACGCACAACGAAAUGCACUGUAUGCCCUCCGGGGAUAGAGACGAGGCCUCCAAGACCUUCUAGGAUUUAAGAGUUCCUCCGCUACUGAGCCUCAUUAGUUCGUCUCUUACGCUGAUAACGUCGUUACAUUAUCACUACAACACUGAUUAUUAAUUCUGUUUGUACGAAAAAAAAACAAUAUAAACGGUAACAACACAUCAUGUACCAAUUUGCUGGGCAUUUAAAAGACAACCACAAUACAGACAACACUAAUACUAAAGAACGUACUAACGAAGACAAGAAACCCUAAGGGAAAUAUAUGUAAAGUC